GACGAACGCUGGCGGCGUGCCUAACACAUGCAAGUCGAACGGGACCGGGGGCAACUCCGGUUCAGUGGCGGACGGGUGCGUAACACGUGAGGAACAUGACUUUCGGUGGGGGAUAGCCGGCCCAACGGCCGGGUAAUACCGCGUACGACCUUUCGGGGACAUCCCCGGUUGGUGAAAGCAGCAAUGCGCCGAAAGAGUGCCUCGCGGCCUAUCAGCUAGUUGGUGGGGUAAUGGCCCACCAAGGCGACGACGGGUAGCUGGUCUGAGAGGAUGGCCAGCCACAUUGGGACUGAGACACGGCCCAGACUCCUACGGGAGGCAGCAGUGGGGAAUAUUGGGCAAUGGGCGAAAGCCUGACGCAGCGACGCCGCGUGUGGGAUGACGGCCUUCGGGUUGUAAACCACUGUCGGGAGGGACGAAUGCCCCGCAAGGGGAGCGACGGUACCUCCAAAGGAAGCACCGGCUAACUCCGUGCCAGCCGCCGCCGUAACAC
rnacentral:rRNA from 1 species